GCAGUCUUGGCCGAGUGGUUAAGGCGAUAGACUCGAAAUUCAUUGGGGUCUCCCCGCACAGGUUCGAAUCCUGUCGACUGCG
rnacentral:tRNA from 1 species